rnacentral:rRNA from 1 species
GGUUAAGCGACUAAGCGUACACGGUGGAUGCCCUGGCAGUCAGAGGCGAUGAAGGACGUGCUAAUCUGCGAUAAGCGCCGGUAAGGUGAUAUGAACCGUUAUAACCGGCGAUUUCCGAAUGGGGAAACCCAGUGUGAUUCGUCACACUAUCAUUAACUGAAUCCAUAGGUUAAUGAGGCGAACCGGGGGAACUGAAACAUCUAAGUACCCCGAGGAAAAGAAAUCAACCGAGAUUCCCCCAGUAGCGGCGAGCGAACGGGGAGGAGCCCAGAGCCUGAAUCAGCAUGUGUGUUAGUGGAAGCGUCUGGAAAGGCGCGCGAUACAGGGUGACAGCCCCGUACACAAAAGCGCAUGUGCUGUGAGCUCGAUGAGUAGGGCGGGACACGUGGUAUCCUGUCUGAAUAUGGGGGGACCAUCCUCCAAGGCUAAAUACUCCUGACUGACCGAUAGUGAACCAGUACCGUGAGGGAAAGGCGAAAAGAACCCCGGCGAGGGGAGUGAAAAAGAACCUGAAACCGUGUACGUACAAGCAGUGGGAGCACAGGUUUACCUGUGUGACUGCGUACCUUUUGUAUAAUGGGUCAGCGACUUAUAUUCUGUAGCAAGGUUAACCGUAUAGGGGAGCCGGAGGGAAACCGAGUCUUAACCGGGCGUUAAGUUGCAGGGUAUAGACCCGAAACCCGGUGAUCUAGCCAUGGGCAGGUUGAAGGUUGGGUAACACUAACUGGAGGACCGAACCGACUAAUGUUGAAAAAUUAGCGGAUGACCUGUGGCUGGGGGUGAAAGGCCAAUCAAACCGGGAGAUAGCUGGUUCUCCCCGAAAGCUAUUUAGGUAGCGCCUCGUGAAUUCAUCUCCGGGGGUAGAGCACUGUUUCGGCUAGGGGGCCAUCCCGGCUUACCAACCCGAUGCAAACUGCGAAUACCGGAGAAUGUUAUCACGGGAGACACACGGCGGGUGCUAACGUCCGUCGUGAAGAGGGAAACAACCCAGACCGCCAGCUAAGGUCCCAAAGUCAUGGUUAAGUGGGAAACGAUGUGGGAAGGCCCAGACAGCCAGGAUGUUGGCUUAGAAGCAGCCAUCAUUUAAAGAAAGCGUAAUAGCUCACUGGUCGAGUCGGCCUGCGCGGAAGAUGUAACGGGGCUAAACCAUGCACCGAAGCUGCGGCAGCGACACUCAGGUGUUGUUGGGUAGGGGAGCGUUCUGUAAGCCUGUGAAGGUGGCCUGUGAGGGUUGCUGGAGGUAUCAGAAGUGCGAAUGCUGACAUAAGUAACGAUAAAGCGGGUGAAAAGCCCGCUCGCCGGAAGAC